rnacentral:lncRNA from 1 species
CAAAGCAAGGCUGUCUAAGACUUGCUUCCUUAAAAUAGAGAUGAGCUGGGUCCAGCACAGCACUGCCUGAUUCUCCAUGAUCCAUCUCCCGAGGUCUGAAACACCCACUGAGAUGCUGGCCAGAACUGUGGAGCUUUUAAGGAAAGUGAACACGAAGACCAGAAGACGCAGGGGGAAGCCUGAGAGAAAAACAGUGCAUAACAUGGAACAUGGGCCCCACCUGCACGGACCACAGAACACAAGAGAUUCAGACACACCCUGGACACGAUGAAGGCUCCGCUCUAAGUCACCUGGACCUCAUCCCAACACAGUGGCAGUGUCAGGGCUCAGUGUCUGACUGCACGACUGGGAGAUCUGGGUCCAGCAGACACCUGCAGAAACAGCAGCCAGAUAUUAGCAACACAAGCGCCAGCAAAACCUCAGAAAACACCUCGCAUUGUACUGACCACUUACUGAAGGCACUCAAUGUAAAGCCCCAGGUCAGUGCUUGUCUAGUUCAAAAGGGUUCUCCACUUUCAGCUGCAAAUCAUUUUAAAGCCCAGGGCCAUAAACUCACCAACUUCAGCACACCUGACUCCCCCACCACAGGCUCUGUGCUCAGGAGCUGGGGGUGUCCGCUGGAAACAUGGAAGUAUGUGACAUCUACUGAAAUCAGUGAUAGUAGGAAAAGGAAAAAG